UCAAACUUGGUCAUUUAGAGGAAGUAAAAGUCGUAACAAGGUUUCCGUAGGUGAACCUGCGGAAGGAUCAUUAGUGAAUUUUGGGCACUCUAACCGAGGCCCAACCUCCACAAUCCCAAACACUGUGCACUUUAUUUUGGCGAGCUUCGUAAUUGAAACUUGCCUUCAUUUUUUAACACUAGUCAAAGAAUGUAAAUAAAAUCAUAACAAAAAAAAACUUUCAACAACGGAUCUCUUGGCUCUCGCAUCGAUGAAGAACGCAGC
rnacentral:misc_RNA from 1 species